rnacentral:rRNA from 1 species
GAUGAACGCUGGCGGCGUGCCUAAUACAUGCAAGUCGAGCGAACGGACGAGAAGCUUGCUUCUCUGAUGUUAGCGGCGGACGGGUGAGUAACACGUGGAUAACCUACCUAUAAGACUGGGAUAACUUCGGGAAACCGGAGCUAAUACCGGAUAAUAUUUUGAACCGCAUGGUUCAAAAGUGAAAGACGGUCUUGCUGUCACUUAUAGAUGGAUCCGCGCUGCAUUAGCUAGUUGGUAAGGUAACGGCUUACCAAGGCAACGAUGCAUAGCCGACCUGAGAGGGUGAUCGGCCACACUGGAACUGAGACACGGUCCAGACUCCUACGGGAGGCAGCAGUAGGGAAUCUUCCGCAAUGGGCGAAAGCCUGACGGAGCAACGCCGCGUGAGUGAUGAAGGUCUUCGGAUCGUAAAACUCUGUUAUUAGGGAAGAACAUACGUGUAAGUGACUGUGCACAUCUUGACGGUACCUAAUCAGAAAGCCACGGCUAACUACGUG